rnacentral:lncRNA from 1 species
GAUCGAACAGGAGAAAGGAAAAAGGGGGGUGUGAACCUAAACCUCAAGAAAUCAUCAAAUUGAAAAGGGAAUCAAGGGCUGAUUGUAUGCAUGAACCAAGGAUGAUGAUCCCUUAAGCAUUUCUAACAUCAAGAGCCAUGUCAACAUGGACACGAGCAUGGAAGGGCAAUGGGUCAGCGGUAAAUACGGAAGCUAUGCAUGAACUCGGACGCACGAGGUAUUGCACGGAUUACCGCUACUACUACCGAAGAUAAGCAAGCGUUGAUCGAGUCACGGAGCAAGGGUUGUACGGAAAUAUGUAUUGUCUUGAAGCGUUAAUUUAAUGUGGUUAUUGUAAAUCCCUUUUGUAAAUGUUUAUCAUUUGUAUUUGAGCCUUCAAGUAAGUAAUGUGUCUAAAUAAGAAAGAAAUUUUUGGGCUCGUAU